AUCGUUUCUCGGCCUUUUGGCUAAGAUCAAGUGUAGUAUCUGUUCUUAUCAGUUUAAAAUUCCGUAAGUUAUCUUGCCAUAGGUAUUGCUCACUCUCCCUUGAAUAACCUGAUAUUUAUUAUUCAUUAUAAGGGCAAAAUGUGAAAGAUUGCACUCUAA
rnacentral:snRNA from 1 species